CCCCCUCCUGCCGGCCACUCCCUCCUCAUCAGCUCAACUCCACUCACCUGUUCACCACAGCUGCAGCGGAGCACUCAUCAGUUCGGUAUAUAUACUUCUCUCCACCAUGCACUCAUCGCCAGAUUGUUCUUUGUCAUCCGUACAAGUCUCUCCAGCAUUUCCCGGACGGAUUCCCCGGUAUCGACCCCGCCUGUCCCCGACCUGUCUGCUCUUUCUGCCCCGGUGAUCAACCCAGCCUUCCGCCCCCGACAACGGACUCUGCCUGCUUCCCCGCCUGUGGUGCCGUCCCCCUUCACAGGGCGGACACGCUCCCACGGCGUGUCCGCCCUGGGCACUCCGUGCUCUCCCACGAAGCAAGUUUGUUCCACGGUCCAAACGUUUGCCGCUUAGACGACAUUUGAGCUUCAGCAAAAGGCCCAACUAUGAGUGGCUUCAACAUGCAUCGCCUACAUGACUUCGCUAAGGACUGAAUUGUGAGGAGUUUGACCGUUUUACCACUAAGGACCUCUUAGACAAAUACUCUCCUCGACUGAUAGAACCCUACUGUGCCAGGAAGGGAGCCUUUGGUCAAAACAUGGAAACCCUCUUGGAAAGGCUUGAUGAACAGGUUCCUUCUGCUGGCCUGGCCCCUCCCUACUCGUUGAUUGAUUGAAUUCACCUGCUUGGGGCCUCCUUAUAUUCACAGUCUCUUGCUGUGUCCCAAUUCGGGGGCUGUCUCCUUCGAGGACGUAACCAACGCGGCCGAUGGAGGUGAUACUCCUUCGUCGGCCAGGUAGACCGCGACGGGCGAACCAAAAGGAGUCUGUUUACGGUAGAUUUCCUUCUUCUUCUUCCUGUUACACUGGCGAGUGGCAUUAUCGCCACCAACUCAUUUAAUUAGGUAUUACAUAUAUCCUUGAGAGGAGAGCAUGGCUAAAAUACACUGGUUAUUCGUUAUAAUAUUAAUUAACAACGUUUUAUUAAUGAAUGGUUUAUUUCAUUUCACUUUGAUGAUAUAAUUCCAUAUCUAAUAUU